AGUGACAGGAUGGUGCGAAAAAUCUGAUCACACGGGCGUUCACAAGGUGAUUGACAGGAAGAGGUCGUUUGUGGGUGGCAACUGAGCAUUUAUUGUGAGUGUCCAGAAAAACGCAGGCGUUCCCAAACGUUUUCACGGAGGCGUUACCUAGUAACGACCCUGCCUCAUGUGACCCUGAUUUCUACCCGGCGCAAUUGGCUGAUGUCAUCAUCCGGCGACCACGGUGUAGUGUGUGCGGGAAUGGCGGACGCUGAACACCAGGGACAGUAUGAUUGGGGAUUGAAUGCUUCUGUUUUAUAAUAUACUGUAUGGGAUAAUUUCUACUUAAUAAUGUGCUGUUAUUUAUAUAUAAUAUGUAUUAUCAUGUAUGUAUUUUUUUAUUUUAUGUAUCUAUUGUAAUUAUUUUGGGAUUACUGGGAAAUGUAAGUAGGGGAUGUCAGCACUAUAUAAAUCCCUUUUGUCAGAAUGGGUGUGUGAGUGAGAUCAGCAUCAUCCGCCAACGAUGACCGAACCUGGGACAAUCCAAUCAGAACAUUCCGAAGAGUAUAUAUAGGAGAAUUGGAAUCAACUACAGCAGAUCUUGAGAAAGGGGGCGGACCCCCGAAACGCGUUUAUGCUGUAAGUCGUGUGAGCUGAUCCAGGAGAGAAUCGCUACCUAUCCGCACGCUUUAGGCUGUUUGCCGGUACAGCGGGCUGAGACAUCCCGGGCGUCUCAGCAGUGAAGCACAGCCUCAUUUUGGGUGCGGGUAUGCGUCCUGAAUCAUUUUUAA